CCGAGCCAGGAUGUCUAUUCAAGGGGAAGACAAUCCUAGUUUCCAGAUGGACGAAAUUAUUGGGGAUGUACCUCAUUGUCGUGCAGGCAGUCUCAGGCGGAGUCGAACCAUUGAAAACCUUGCUGAAGGGGAAGACGAAGUAACAACACAACACCAACAUGAAUGGGACAGAUUUGAACAGAAACAUGAGAAACUUAUGUCUACAUCUGCUGAAAAUAAACAGUGGAGAUCCACCAGGGACAGAAUCUGUAAGAUUGUUACUAUCCUCCUCUUGUUCCUUGUCAACCUGUCACUACUAGUCGUCUCAAAACUCUCCAUCCUUAGUCUAACAAGUCACCUGGGCAAAACUCUGACGCAAGGGUCAGAAACCCAUGGGCCAGUUGUCGAAGUGAGACUCGUCUGGGCACUGCUACUCUGUCUCGUGAUUCCGAGUGUGAUGAACCUAAUUAUCAGCACCUGGAGACUUUGUAUACAGACCAGGGAAGAGGACAGGGAAAAGAAAAAUAUCAAAGAAAAAAUAAAGGCGAUAUUGCCCAUUGGUGUGUGUUUGGCGACUGAGUUGGUUCACUCCCUUGGGAUUCUUCUUCUGACAUUCCUGGUCUUUCCACACCUGCACCCAAUUACCGGAUGUGUUUUGAUGUCAACAGUUGGUCUCGUCCCGUGUAUCACUCGACUUCUUUCAGGAUGGUGCAAUGGUCACACCACUUUGAAAAUUAACAUCCUUAAAUUCGUUCUUGCCUUUUUAUAUAUAGCCAAUUUUGUCUCAUGGCGAGUUCUCUCCCGCGCUCAAACUACCAUUUCAUUGACAGUUCUACUUCCCGUAAGUGUCCUUAUGCUCUCUGUUAAGUGGUGGGAUAAUUAUGUUGGCAAACCCUUUGGAUUAUCGAAGAAGACAACACAGCCACAUGCUUUGAGGGAGUUCAUUGUAUCACUGAUACAGAUAGCAACCCAAUUCCUUUCGACCAGUAUCUUCUUUGGGUACAGUGACAGAGCAACCUGUAUAAGGACGUUAUUUGGUUUCGAGAGAGGAGCAAGAGAAUGUUCUAUAUUCGGUAAUAUUGUGCUUCUAAACGACAACAGUAAAUUAGAUGAAAUAUGUUCAACAAACUUCUUCUUCACCACAGCAGGAACAGCAAUACUAUGUGGAGCCAUAUUUCAUAUCUUGGCUGUUGCGGCCUGCAAGGCACACAUUCAGAUCCCUUGCUUUUCACUUCCAUUACUGUUUUCAACACCAACAACGCUUGGGCUGCUAUGGCUGGUUUACUAUUUUGGAGAUAAAUCUUAUCUUGUGUGUUUCUUUAAAAACAUUACAUCCAUGGACAAUAUGUUCGGAGGUGUUGACACACCAACGUGGAUUUGUGGCAGUGUGAGUUGGAUUCUCUUCUUUCUGGUAUUUGGACAUAUAUGGUUCCCGACUGAAGAAAGGCUUGCUAAAAGGGAAAAGUUAUUCGUCAGACCUUUCUAUUGUGGAAUACUUGUCGGCGAAUCGCUGACGCUGUCCAGAAGAAUGGCUACCGAAGCAAGGAACAUUGAAGAACAAGUAUGUGUCAAGCAAGCUAAAGAGGAGGACGUACCCUUGGUCAUCGCAUGUGUAACAAUGUGGCACGAGACUGAACGAGAAAUGACUCAAGUUUUGAAAUCAAUUUACAGACUGGCCAUAGAUAGUGGCGCAACACGGGCAUGGGCUGAUAUAAAACAGAAUCCUACAUAUACCGCCCCUAAGGAACCGAAUCAGAAACAGCGCAAUAUGAGUACAAGGAAGGCCCCAAAACAAGAAACCCAAAAUACAGACAGUUCGAAUGAUGACAGAUACAACUUUGAAGCGCAUAUAUUCCUUGACGACGCGUUUGAAGGAACAGAUCGUGGAGAUGAGGCUCGAUUCAACACGUGGACUGAACAGUUGAUACAAGUUGUGCAGGAGGUUGCUGGAAAAACCACAAAAGCGUCGUAUCGUCCAACUCCCUAUGGAGGAAAAAUCGCCUGGACAUUACCUGGAGUUAGGGAAACGGCCCUGACGGCGCACUUGAAGGACAAAACAAAAAUCAGAAAUAAGAAACGCUGGAGUCAGGUAAUGUAUCUGUACUACCUCCUCGGAUUCCGGUGCAAGAAGGAGGAUAAGCUGGACAAUAUAUUUCUGUUGGCCUUGGAUGGGGAUGUGGACUUUCAGGAUGGUGCUGUAAAGAUGUUGUUGGACCGGAUGAGGCGAGACCCGGAUGUAGGAGCAGCUUGUGGAAGGAUACAUCCUAUUGGAAUAGGAACUGGUCCAAUUCUGUGGUACCAGAAAUUUGAAUAUGCGGUGAGUCACUGGCUGCAGAAGGCUGCAGAGCAUGUUACAGGAUGUGUUCUCUGCAGCCCUGGCUGUUUCAGUUUGUACAGAGCCUCUGCACUAACGUCCAAGGAUGUCAUACGGAAGUAUGCCACCAUGUCAACCGAAGCAAGACAUUUUGUUCAAUACGACCAAGGCGAGGAUCGAUGGUUAUGUACCUUGUUACUUCAACGAGGCCACAAAAUUGAAUACUGCGCAGCUUCCGAUUCAUUCACUUUUGCCCCAGAAGGAUUUGGAGAGUUCUUUAACCAACGGAAACGAUGGAAUCCAUCAACGAUAGCAAACAUGCUCGACCUGUUAAGCGGCUGGAAACACCUGACCAAGCUGAACAAGAACAUAUCCUCAAUCUUUCUAAUGUAUGAGACGGCAUUGAUGGUGUGUCUGCUCUUGACUCCUGGUACAAUCUUUCUUUUAAUCAUUGGUGCUAUCAACGUGGCCUUUCCCGGGAUACCACUGUAUGGAGCGCUCAUGUUCAAUCUUAUUCCUGUUGGUGUCUUCAUUCUUGUUUGUCUAUACACUCAAGUCAAAACUCAGAUCCAAGUGGCUGGAGUCCUCUGCAUCUUCUACAUGCUGUUGAUGAUGAUGGUACUGGUAGGGCUUGUCCUUCAAGCAGACAAGCAUGGCUACUGCUCUGUCACCACUAUCUUCCUCAUCACCAUCCUUGGGAUAUUCUUUUCCUGUGCACUUCUUCACCCGCAAGAGUUCAGCUGUAUCUUUGCUGGUGUCGUUUAUUUCUUCUUCACGCCAACGAUGUCAAUGUUGAUGGUCAUCUAUUCUUUGUGCAACCUUAACAGCAUCUCAUGGGGAACACGGGAGGGGAAACGGGCAGCCAGAACUGAACAAAACAGUGAUGGUCAGGGGAGACAACUCCAAUCGGUUUGGUCACGAUUGACAAAAGGCGCAAGUGCAAGUUCUCUUUGCCGAUGUAUGUGUUUGGCUCGAGAGGAAAACAGAAAUAUACUGGAUAAGUUGGACAACAUUGAAAAGAUAUUGCAACAGCCACGUGAUCAAGUUGAUAACUGGUCUCAAGAUAGGGCGUACAAUAUUCCCACGCACUCAGCUCAAGAACGGUUCAUUAAGGCACGGGAGGACGACGGCGAAGAUAGAUUCUGGAAAGAACUCAUUGAAAAAUACUUACAACCUCAAACUGCCCAACUUGAAUACCAUGACAAAAUCCAGAGAGACUUGAAGGAGCUGAGAAAUAUGUCAUGCUUAUUGUUUCUUGUGGCAAAUAGUCUUCUUAUCAUUCUUGUCCUUACACUUCAAAUGACCCCACAGCUCACCAUAAGCCUUCCUUGCAAAAGUGAAAGGUUCGUAGGGGAGGACUUCGAGCCUAUAUCUGUGACAUUUAUGAUUGUUUUCGGCGCAGUGCUUGUGGUACAGUUCACAGCAAUGUUGAUCCACCGAUUCUCGACUUUUAUUCAUAUCAUUUCAACAACAGAUAUUCGACAAAAGUCUCAGAGGAGCGAAGACAAGCACAAUGAUAAAGCCGCCAUUACCAUAAUGAAGUUUAUCAUAUCAUAUCACCUGAAGAGCUUACACAAUAAGCCAUUCUCCGCAAACAGAACUGCUUCGGAUGAACCAGAUGGUGCAAGUCAAAGUUUUGAGAAGGAUUUUGUCGAUACAUGUAGGAAACUCUGUGAAGAGAGGGAUGAAGUGGAUGCCCAACAACUAUCAUCAAUAGAGACGUUGACAAUAGCACACAUUGCAAAGAAAGUAAAAACAACAGAGGCUUGCGUGAAGAAGAUUAUGAAAAGAGUGAAUGACAGAAACAGAGAGACAAAAGAGAUUAGAAGGCAAAUCAUCAAUAGCACAGUACCUGAUGAUGUAUCAGGCUCAUCCAGAGUUUCAUCUUCAAACGCUAAUAUACAUCAAACUAGCGUUAAAGAAGUAUCUACGUCUAUCUUUGUCCAUAGGGUUAAUGAAGACCAAAAUAACACCAAGUGUGAUGAAACAGAUUCGUCAGCAGCUAUGUUCAACACUAGCAGUCGUACACGCGUGUGGGAACUUGGCCGAAGGAAUGAUAUCAUAUCGGAGGAUUUUUCGUACCAGUCAGGGCAAAGAAGACCACCACAAAGAAGAAGAGUUUCAUCCAAACAUGUUUUGAAGGCACGGCCAUCUGAAGUUCCUGUCGAAGUGUACAGGCCAUCUCAUCCCCACGCAGUGGAUAUCAAUGCCCUGAAAAACGAAACAAAAUUGUAAAAAUCAAUAAUUCAAUACAAACCAUUAUCAUGAAAUGACUACCAAAAGAACAAUAUGUCAUUCCUAAUUUACAACUGACAGUGCAUUCAAGGCUUGUUCUGUUUCGUUGGGAUCCAUGUUUGAAACAAAACAAGGAAAGAUUCAGCUGGGGUUUGAAAGAACAAAAACAGGAACAAAUUCACAUUGGGAAAUUGUUACAUUGUGACUUAGUUUUACAAUCAUCAACAAACGUAAGAUCAUAAGAUAAGUAAUGUUGUUGAAGCAUAAUGAUUCGUUUACAUUGUUUAUUGCUAUCUAGUUACAUACUUAUGUUAGCACAUAUUAUUUGAAUUUGUAUUCCUGUUAAUUGUACUAAUGUCUCUUAUACAUAUAACAUAUGUCAUUUUUACACUUAGAUGUAGACUCAGUGUAUUACCAGUUGUUCUAUGCCACAGUGAGCAAUUUUCCAGCCAUAUCACAAGAGUUCGUAAAUAAUAAAAUCUGGACCAGGAAAAUCACUGGGUAGUAGCAUGAUCAACGGGCGUUCUGUAAGUUUUGCAACUUUAAUAUAAGACCAAGUCGCAGAAUAUCUUUUGCACUUUUAGUUUUCAUUAUAAUCUUCAUUCACCUCAGUACACUUAUUCCAUUUGUCCUUCGAGCUUUUAAUACCACUUUUUUAGAAAUUCGCAGAUUGGCCCUCUAACCACGCCUCUGUGGCAGCUUUUUUGUCCUCGUCGUCCUGGAAGCAUCUUCCACGUAGGGCAGAUUUCAUUUGCCGGAACAGGAAAUAGUCACUGGGGGCUAAGUCUGGGCUGUAGGGUGGGUGAUUUAACUGUGUGUGCAAAACUUAUUGAACGCCCCUCGUACAUAUAGGAUAUAUAUAUGUAUUUUGCAAUAUGUGUAUUUUCCUAUGAGUAAGCUUCAUUUAACUGUUUGUGUAUUUAUUUAUUGCUCCUAGUUAAGCUCAAUGAUUAGCGAUUAGGACAAACAUAAACAUAAACUUUUCCUAUUUUAAUUUAUUCUUGCUUGCUUUUAUCAUAUAUAGGUAAGGCAUGAAGCUGCCAUGGAUACCUUAAGU
rnacentral:misc_RNA from 1 species